UACGGGGGGGGCAAGCGUUGUUCGGAAUUACUGGGCGUAAAGGGCUCGUAGGUGGCCAACUAAGUCAGACGUGAAAUCCCCAGGCUUAACCUGGGAACUGCGUCUGAUACUGGAUGGCUUGAAUUCGGGAGAGGGAUGCAGAAUUCCAGGUGUAGCGGUGAAAUGCGUAGAUAUCUGGAGGAACACCGGUGGCGAAGGCGGCAUCCUGGACCGGCAUUGACGCUGAGGCGCGAAAGCCAGGGGAGCAAACGGG
rnacentral:rRNA from 1 species